rnacentral:rRNA from 1 species
AGGGACACCCAAAAGCUAAGUAGUAAGCGCUGUCCCGAAACUUAAAGAAUUUGGCGGUGCUUUAACCUAAUUAGAGGAAUCUGUUUUAUUAUCGACAACACACGAAAUAUCUUACGCAGGAUCAGCUUGUAUACCGUCGUAGAAAUAAUAUUUUCUGAUCAUUAUUAUUCAGAGGACCUCCCCGCACGACAGAUCAAGGUUCAGCGCAUUCCUGCGGAAAAAUGGAUUACAAUAUGCUUACAUAUAACGGAUAAAUCUUUGAAAAAUGAAUUUGAAGGUGGAUUUAAAAGUACGAAAAAAUUAACAUGUCUUCCAGAAUUAGCCCUAAAGCAUGC